AAAUUAAUUUGAUUUUUGUUAAUAUUAUUUAUUUUUUGAUUAUUUUGCAUGUAAGUUUUUACCAGAUUGUUUAUUUCUAAAUGAUUAAUUUUAGAUUUUCAGUGUUUAAUUUUUUUGUCUUAAUAUUUUAAUUAAAGUAAAUUAAAAUAGAUCAGAAAAAUGUUGUGCCAGCAUUCGCGGUUACACUUCAUGUUCGAGUAAAUAUUUUUAGUUUUCAGAUUUAUUUUUUAGAUUAGUUUUAUUUAGGUGAAAUUUAUAUUUUUAAUUAAUUUUUUUUUCUGUUUAAACUAUUAUUAGACCAGGAUUAGAUACCCUGUUAUUUUAGUGAAAUUUUUUUUUUCUGGGGAUUAAAAAUUUUUUGAAAUUCAACGGAUCUGGCGGUUAUUAAAUUUUUUUAAAGGAACCUGUAAUUUAAAUGAUAGUCCACGAUUUUUAUUACCUUUAAUUUCUUGUAUAUCUCUGUCGUUGAAUGUUUUGAAAGGUUAAUUUUCUUUUUCUUUAUUUGAAUUAUGUUAGGUCAAGGUGCAUUUUUUUAAAGGUUAUUAGGGGUUACAUUAAUUUUUGUUUGGGGAUUUCAUAUUUUUUCUUGAAUGAAUAUGGAUUUAAAAGUAAUUUUUUUUCUUAAAAAAUUUGAAUUGAACUCUUAAUUAUGUACAUAUCGCCCGUCAUUCUCAAAUACUGAGACAAGUCGUAACAAAGUAAAUGUACUGG
rnacentral:ncRNA from 1 species